rnacentral:rRNA from 1 species
UAGGGAAUCUUCGGCAAUGGGGGGAACCCUGACCGAGCAACGCCGCGUGAGUGAAGAAGGUUUUCGGAUCGUAAAGCUCUGUUGUUAAGGAAGAACGAGUGUGAGAAUGGAAAGUUCAUGCUGUGACGGUACUUAACCAGAAAGGGACGGCUAACUACGUGCCAGCAGCCGCGGUAAUACGUAGGUCCCGAGCGUUGUCCGGAUUUAUUGGGCGUAAAGCGAGCGCAGGCGGUUAGAAAAGUCUGAAGUGAAAGGCAGUGGCUCAACCAUUGUAGGCUUUGGAAACUGUUUAACUGGAGUGCAGAAGGGGAGAGUGGAAUUCCAUGUGUAGCGGUGAAAUGCGUAGAUAUAUGGGGGAACACCGGUGGCGAAAGCGGCUCUCUGGUCUGUAACUGACGCUGAGGCUCGAAAGCGUGGGGAGCGAACAGG